CGCGUGGGGGCACCCUCCGCCUCCUCCGGUUAGCCGGAAAGCGGUUUUCCAAUCGGAUAGAAGAGGGGCCCUCCGCUCCGCCGCCGGCACUCACCCCAGCUGCACUCCCGUGGGCCGUGCCGCCGUGGCACGCCGGCGCGGCGGAUGCAGUCGCCACGAAUCAGGACAAGCAGCAGGCGCCAAAACCCAAACCAAUUCCCUCCCUUCCGUUCCUACUACGAUACCCACCUCGACGCGCCGUCUCGCCGGCGACGUCACUGGCAAGUACCAAACUGCCCCUACCUCCUCCCGCUUAGUUCUAUAAAUACGGGGGGGUCGUCUUCCUCCACAAGAUUCUGCCAAAAGAUCCUCUCGGAUGCCCCCGCCCCCGCCCACCCAUUUCGCCAGUCGCCAUCGAGCUCUCGCUUCCGCCGCCCGCUGCCGCUCUAUCACCCCGGUGCUGAGCCCUAGGAUGUGACUGGCGGACGUCUCUAUGGCCGAGCCGUAGGUGGAGGCGGCACCUCGGCGCCGUGGGAGAUGGAGGACGAUGACACCGAGGGUGUAGGCGAGAGCACCUGUCCCCCCGCCGCCGACCGAGGAGGCUCCUCCUCGGCCGGCGGCGGCGGCGGCGACUCGCACAGUUACACUGACAUAGAGAAGGAGGUCUUCGACCGUCUCAUGGAGAAGAGAAUCCCGGAGGUCGUCGCGGACCCGGUGGCCUUCCGCGAAGAGCUCCGCCGCCACUUCGAGCGCCUGCCGCUGAGCUACGCCGUCGAUGUGAACGUCGACAAGGCGGAGGACGUGCUGCUGCACCGGAGGAUUCUCAACGAGUGCGCUCACCCUGAAAAUCGCCCCAUCUUCCAUGUGGGCUUCCUGAACUGCAUCCCGCCCUCGGUGGAUCCACAGUAUAACACUCAGUCCAUCUCUACGAGCGAAAACGGUAAUUGUGGGGGUUCUCAGGAUUCCACUUUGAGAAAAUUUGAGCCAUGCGAAGGGAUCGAGGACCUCAGUUUAACUGGACAAAAAGUUGUGGUUGACUCUGUGGCCAGUUCUUCGAGGGGAGAUGAAGAAAUCCUCCAUGUUCAUGAAAUUAUUUUUUCUACCAUUGACAAACCAAAGCUCCUCGCUCAGCUAUCUGCUUUGUUGUCUGAAGUUGGACUGAACAUCCGUGAAGCUCAUGUCUUCUCAACGACUGAUGGCUUUUGUUUGGAUGUAUUUGUUGUUGAUGGCUGGGAUACAAAGGAGACAGAUACUUUGCUACAGAUUCUCAAGGAGACAGCGGCACGAAAUCAUGCCUCAUUAUCAAACCCAACCAAUUCUGCAGCCUCAGAAAGAGUACUGGAACUACAAGAGAAGAUUGGUGAUUCAAAUAUUGACAGGAAUUUUCUGCAGAUUGGGGAGAAGAUUGCAUCUGGAUCUUCCGGGGACUUGCAUCGAGGAACUUAUCAAGGUAUGGAUGUUGCAGUAAAGUUCCUCAGAACCGAACAUGUUAAUGACUCGUCAAAGGUGGAGUUUUUACAAGAAAUAAUUAUUCUAAAGAGUGUUAAUCAUGAUAAUGUUGUUCGAUUCUACGGGGCAUGCACAAAGCAGAGAAAAUAUGUCAUCGUGACAGAGUAUAUGCCUGGAGGCAAUCUGUAUGAUUUUCUUCACACGCUAAAAAAUACUUUGGAUCUCCCAACGGUUCUCAGGAUUGCUAUCGGCAUCUCCAAGGGGAUGGAUUAUUUGCACCAAAAUAACAUCAUCCAUCGGGACUUGAAGACUGCCAAUUUGCUUAUGGGCUCUGAUUAUGUUGUGAAGAUUGCAGACUUUGGAGUCUCAAGGAAUCCAUCUCAAGGUGGAGACAUGACUGCUGAAACUGGUACCUACAGAUGGAUGGCACCUGAGGUAAUAAACCAUAAGCCGUACGAUCACAGGGCAGAUAUCUUCAGCUUUGCUGUGGUUCUGUGGGAGCUGGUCACUUCAAAGGUAACACUUAGCCUUACUUGUGCCAUAUAUGUGUAUAGAUACCAUACAGAAAUCUGACACCCUUGCAAGCUGCACUGGGAGUAAGGCAGGGAAUGCGGUUGGAGAUCCCGUCAUGGGUCAAUCCACAACUGUCUAAACUGAUUCAGCGUUGCUGGGACGAAAAUCCUAACCUGCGCCCCUCUUUCUCAGAGAUCACUGCAGAGCUGGAAGGCAUGUUAAGGGAUCAUCAGGCCUCCAAGGGAAGCAACAAACAUUCGAAGGCAAAGGCACACAAAAAAUCGCAGAGAGAGGCAGAAUAACGAGGUUGUCAGUUACCACCUUGUGAAAAGCUUAGUGGAGCUUGGCUAUCAUCGUCCAAGAUUCUGAGGCUACUACAAAGAUGCUGCUAGUGUACAAUUGUCAAAUAUUGUAUAUGAUUGGUGUGUGUGUGUGUUUCUAUUACUCCCAAAAACACUAUAUACGGGAGAAGCGUCGACAAUACAGCGGGACAAGCAAAGACACGGAAUCCUUGUACAAAAUGGCUUGCAAGCAGCAUAAAAUGCCCUCUAGUUUUUGUAUACAAAACAUGAAAAAUAUAUGUGCAUGAGCCGUGCGUGCUUCCUGUGAUUCUGUAUCUC